rnacentral:rRNA from 1 species
CAGUGAGUGUGAGAAGUAGGCAAAUCCGCUUCUCGCGAAGCAUGAGCUGUGAUGGGGAAGGAAAUUAAGUACGGAAGUUCCUGAUUUCACGCUGUCAAGAAAAGCCUCUAGGAAGAGUAGUACUGCCCGUACCGCAAACCGACACAGGUAGAUGAGGAGAGAAUCCUAAGGUGAGCGAGAGAACUCUCGUUAAGGAACUCGGCAAAAUGACCCCGUAACUUCGGGAGAAGGGGUGCUCUAUUAGGGUGCAAGCCCGAGAGAGCCGCAGUGAAUAGGCCCAGGCGACUGUUUAGCAAAAACACAGGUCUCUGCAAAACCGUAAGGUGACGUAUAGGGGCUGACGCCUGCCCGGUGCUGGAAGGUUAAGAGGAGUGCUUAGCUUCGGCGAAGGUACGAAUUGAAGCCCCAGUAAACGGCGGCCGUAACUAUAACGGUCCUAAGGUAGCGAAAUUCCUUGUCGGGUAAGUUCCGACCCGCACGAAAGGCGCAACGAUCUGGGCACUGUCUCAACGAGAGACUCGGUGAAAUUAUAGUACCUGUGAAGAUGCAGGUUACCCGCGACAGGACGGAAAGACCCCGUGGAGCUUUACUGCAACCUGAUAUGGAAUGUUUGUACCGCU